GUGCCAGCAGCGGCGGUAAUACGAAGGGGCUAGCGUUGCUCGGAAUGACUGGGCGUAAAGGGCGUGUAGGCGGUUUGUACAGUCAGAUGUGAAAUCCCCGGGCUUAACCUGGGAGCUGCAUUUGAUACGUGCAGACUAGAGUGUGAGAGAGGGUUGUGGAAUUCCCAGUGUAGAGGUGAAAUUCGUAGAUAUUGGGAAGAACACCGGUGGCGAAGGCGGCAACCUGGCUCAUGACUGACGCUGAGGCGCGAAAGCGUGGGAGCAAACAGGAUUAGAUACCCUGGUAGUCCACGCUGUAAACGAUGUGUGCUGGAUGUUGGGCUAACGUUAGUUUGUUCAGUGUCGUAGCUAACGCGAUAAGCACACCGCCGUGGGACGUACGGCCGCGAAGGUU
rnacentral:rRNA from 1 species